rnacentral:rRNA from 1 species
UGGGGAAUAUUGCGCAAUGGGGGAAACCCUGACGCAGCAACGCCGCGUGAAGGAUGAAGGUCUUCGGAUUGUAAACUUCUUUGAUGAGGGAAGAAAAAAUGACGGUACUUCAAAAACAAGCCACGGCUAACUACGUGCCAGCAGCCGCGGUAAUACGUAGGUGGCGAGCGUUGUCCGGAAUUACUGGGUGUAAAGGGCGUGUAGGCGGGAUUGCAAGUCAGAUGUGAAAUUCCGGGGCUUAACCUCGGCGCUGCAUCUGAAACUGUGAUGCUUGAGUGCUGGAGAGGAGAGUGGUAUUCCUAGUGUAGCGGUGAAAUGCGUAGAUAUUAGGAGGAACACCAGUGGCGAAGGCGACUAUCUGGACAGUAACUGACGCUGAGGCGCGAAAGCGUGGGGAGCAAACA